AAGUUAAGUCCCUCUCCCCAUCACACUCUUUCUGCUCUCUGCCACUUAUAAACCUCAGAAUUCCACCGAGGUUAUGAGUGAGUGGCAGGUGAAAUAGGGCUCCCCAUCACACUCUUUCUGCCACUUAUAAACCUCAGAACUCCACCGAGGUUACGAGUGAGUGGCACGUUAAGUCCCCUCCCCAUCACACUGUUUUCUGCCUUCGUAUUCCAUGGUGUGUGUGUGCUGUGAACCCUCUCCGAGCAUAGAAUUACUCCUACCACUCACAGGACCCAACACUGCCUCCACUCACACCAUCCACUUGUCACUAGCUUUGGGGAGACAGAGACACGGGCAAGGGUUCAUUCAGACAGGCAAGCUAUAAGAAUCAAGUGUCACUGUUCUUUUGGAGAGGAGUUCAUGAUAUAUACUAGAUUUCUGAGUUUGUUCUUAGCUUGGGAGACACAGGCAAAGGUUCAGCUCAGACAGGCAAGCUUUAAGAAUCAAGGGUCGCUGUUCGUUCAGAGAGGAAUUCAUGACAUAUACUAGAUUUCCGAGUUGGUUCAUGUACUGUACUUUGCUUUUGCUGCAUUCUAUAGACAAAUUCACAGGCAAAGGUUCAGCUAGGGAAGCAAUGAGAACUGAGUGUUGCUGUUCUGUAAGAGAGAAAUUCACGACAUAUGCUAGAUUUCCGAGUUGGUUUUUAGUCCAUCCAUCGACAAGUUAUGCCAGAGUGAUGUCCCGUACUUUGCUUUCCAUGCAUUCUAUAGACAAAUACCAGUAACUUUCUAUAGCUAAUGGCCUUGGUGUAUGGUGGAAUUCAUGACGUAUUAAUUUUUCAAGUCGUUUCUUAAGUCCAUCCAUCGACAGGUUAUGCCAGAGUGAUGUCAUUUGCUUUUCCUCUCUGUAGACAAAUUCCCGUAACUUUCUGUACUGCUUAGUGGCCUUGGUUCUUAGUUUUGCAUUCAUUUAUAUUUUGAGUCGGUUUUUAGUCCAUCCAUCGACAAGUUAUGCCAGAGUGAUGUACCGUACUUUGCUUAUCCUGCGUUCUAUAAACAAGUUCCCGUAACUUUCUGUACUACUUAAAGGCCUUGGUUUGGUUUUAUACUCUCCAAAGCACAAAGCAGCCUGCCAUAGGUCUCCUCCUAUAAUCAUAACUCAGCACUGCCCAAGCAUCAUAGGUGGGUUGAAGCAGCCAGCGACUCACCUUUCCGAGUCAUGAUAUAUAUCGUUCGUCACCUGUAUUUCAAUAUAUGUGGCCGCCCUUCCCUCGAGACGUUUCUUGCAAUAAUGUGGUUCUGUCAUCGGUGGUUCUGCCUCUUCACUAGCUUUAUAUGUGUGUGAGUGUACGUGCAUGUUCAAUACUGUUCCACGAGACAUAUUUUUCAUUGAGUAAGUAAGAUUAAUCAGAGAGAGGCAAGUGGAAAGCGGCAAAAAGAAUGACCUUAUUUUUUAGCUGUUCCAUAAUUACGGCGCAGGUGGAAAAGGCGACUUCUGUGUCUCUGAACUUAAAGACAAUUGAAGAACAGAUAAGCACCGGAACUUUUACCUCUUAUGUGUGUGUGUGUCCUUCUCUGGCACUUGUAUGGACUGACAUCACAGGCAUAGCAAGACAUGUAGCUCAGUGGUCUGGAGUACAUGAAUCUUUGUGUCCAGCUGCCUUGUAUCACCUUGUAUUACCUCCCUGACCCCAUGUUAGUGUUAAUACUCAAGGACACUGCCAGUAAGAGUAGCUCCCUUAUAAACAAUUCCAUAUAUACCAUCUUGGGGUUCAGGGGUUGUCUGUAUGCCAGUCUGGUGCAAGUUAGCUCUCCUCUUAAGGGUACCAUUCAGAGUUUGAGGUCAGCCACAGCACAGUUACCCACCAUAGCAUAAUGUUUUCUAUAAUGUGUUCCCUGUGCCCAUAUACCAGCUUCUAUCUGUGCUUCAGUGGCUCAGCAAGGCAGCUUCCUUCUUUAAGAUAUCAGUGUCAGCAGCUGUGGUUUGUGGUUUGAGUUUUUUUCGAGUCAUGAUGAACUGGGAUUUCUGGCAAGCUUCAGACAGUGGCCGACAUGCCUUAGUAGUGUUACCAUACCCAGAGACACUAAACUACAGCAUAACAAGAUCAGAGAAAGGAGAAAUAUUAUUGGUUUUAGAUUUCCACAAGAUUUAGUUCGUGUGGUAAAGCUGUUAUGGAAGUUAAAAGGCACAUUACUAUUUUAUUUGCUGUCACAGGCCUUAGUAGAGUUCCCUUACCCACAUAACAACGAAAAACAGCAUAACAAGAUACAUAGGAAGGACAAAUAUUACUGUUUAUAGGGUUGCACAAGUCUUAAGUUCAUGUGGUCAAACUGUUAUGGAAGUUAAAAGAACCAUUACUAUUUUAUUUGCUGUUACAGGCCUUAGUAGAGUUCCCUUACCCACAUAACAACAAAAAACAGCAUAACAAGAUAUAGAGGAGGGAGAAAUAUUACUGGAUUUAGAGUCAUGUAUCUAUCACCGUACGGCCAAAAGCAUCGAUAAGGUACUGUGGCCAUCACCUGCAAGAGUUACCGAACACUUUUCAAGCACCAAACUCUUGCCACAUGUCUGUCAUUAGCAUUAAGGAACCUGUAUAUCCCUUUGUUUUUUGUCUGUAGCUGGUUAGUUGUAAGGGCAGCAUGAGCCGUGCAUAUAUAUAAAGUGUGAGGCAUCCAUUUAGAGUAACGGCGUGGACUGAGGCUUUCCGAGGGCGUAUGCUGUGUAGGUGGCGGCAGCCUUGGUCGGUGCAAGGUGGGCUUUGUGGGGCUUUCCAAUGCAGGGUUUUAAAGGACUGGGAAAGGCGAGUCUGUAGUCUGUCUAUCUGUGAAGCCUCGGAAUUAACCUCUAUUUUGGGUUUUGAAGGGCUGAGGAAGGCAAGUCCGUAUUCUAUCUCUCCGUGAAGCCUCGAAAUUGACCUCUAUUUUGGAUUUUGAAGGGCUGGGGAAGGCAAGUCUUUAGUCUGUAUCUGUGAAGCCUCGAAAUUAACCUCACUUUUGGGUUUUGAAGAGCUGGGAAAGGCAAGUCUUUAGUCUGUCUUUCUGUGAAGCUUCAAAAUUUACCUCUCUCCUGUCCACUCAUCUAUACACUCACUCUUUCCUAGGGGCAGUGAUUAGUGGACUUUUUUUUUUCUCAGUUAAAUUUUUGCCCUUGAGCUGCUUCCCUUACCAUAAAAUAUGUGUUCUAGUGUUACUCAGUUUUUAUAUACACAUUUCUGUUUACCUGAAUUUUUAUCGCAACUCGCUUUGUUCUGGGUUCGUGAAAGGCAACUCGAUAUUUUUUGUGCUUUUCGGGGAAGCUUCCAACCACCUUACGUGUUCUAAUGUUACUCAGUUUUUAUAUACAUUCAUAUCUAUUUACCUGAAUUUUUAUUGUAACUCACUUUGUUCUGGGUUCGUGAAAGGCAACUUGAUAUUUUUUGUGCUUUUUGGGGAAGCUUACAACCACCUUAGGUGUUCUGGUGUUACUCAGUUUUUAUAGACACUUAUUUAAUUCACUUUGCUGUUGUGGGUUUUCGAGCUCAUUACCCACACUCAAACUUUCGUAGUCUUACAUUAUUUUCGUCAUCAUGAGCUGCUAUGCCAAGACUUCGAGUUACUGGGCUCAGAGCAUAGUGUGAGUCAUUCCCUCAGGCACAGAAGAAGGGAGUCACAAUCUCUAUCUGUCUUCAGGCGUAAGAAUUCCAUCCGUUUCCAUCUUGCUAAACAAAGUGAGAUGGGUCAGUUUAGUUUUGCUCAGCUGUUUGCGUUUUAUCCUGUACGUCGAAGUCUGAUAAUUCCAUCCAGUUAUUUACCAAGAGUGAGAUAGUUGUGUCCUUUAUUUUUUCUAUUAGUUCUUCCUCGCUGACUCCCAUGCGUUGCUGUAGUGUAUGUCCCCAACUUGACCUCAGUGGUGUUCAUUACGGACAUUUUCACUAUGUUAUUGCAGUUUCUCUAAUAUAAAACUUGACCUUUCUUUUCACUCUUUCUUACUGUUCGUUCUUCAUCACUUUGCUCCUUCCUGCGGCACUGUCCUGAACGCUCGACACAAACCCUUCGUCUCUCUGGACAACACUCGCAGGGGUGAUGGGCGGCCUCGGGGAGUCACAUUUCGUCCCUCAAAUCAAAGACAUUUAGUUCGUAGUAUUUGACGUAUGGUGUUUUGUAUCAUUUCACACUCACUUUUCACUACGUUAAUGUGCUUUUUUAUAUAUGUUACGCACUUUAGUUGGUAAUUACUCUAAGCACUUCAUUUGCCUUUUUUUAUUUUAGGUUAUAAGAGGCAGCUCCAGUUGUUACCCUUUCUCUCAAUGUGGGGCAAACUCAAGCCUAUGGGAAAUACAUAAGUGGUUUGGCCGGGUAUAUUUUGUAGCCCAUGAUGAAGUAGGAACAUUACGAGAGUUAGGCAACUAUAUAUGUAAUACGCUUUAGUUGGCAAUUACUCUUAAGCACUUCAUUUGCCUUUUUUUAUUCUAGGUUAUAAGAGGCAGCUCCAUUUUUUCCUCUUUCUCAGUGAACAAAGUUAAAUCUGUGGGAAAUACAUCAGUGAUAUGGCCGGAUAUAUUUUGUAGCCCACAAUGAAGUAGGAAUAUUACAAGAGUUAGGCAACUAUAUAUUUGCGAGCGUUGCGUAGGUGGAUUUUACGAGAGAGAUGUUACCCAGUUCUGGUGUCCUAACGUAAACCAUUGAAGCUUUCCCCUAGUGAGUAAAGGUAGCGAGGUAAGCACUCUAUCCAUGGUCAUAAUCUGUGCAUUUUAAGCUUGUGGUCUUAAUACUGUCCUCUGUGUGUUCACCACAUGAUCUUGGCUUAUAAUAAAAUAAUGGUACUCAA